rnacentral:rRNA from 1 species
AUUGAACGCUGGCGGCAGGCCUAACACAUGCAAGUCGAACGGUAACAGGAAGAAGCUUGCUUCUUUGCUGACGAGUGGCGGACGGGUGAGUAAUGUCUGGGAAACUGCCUGAUGGAGGGGGAUAACUACUGGAAACGGUAGCUAAUACCGCUUAACGUCGCAAGACCAAAGAGGGGGACCUUCGGGCCUCUUGCCAUCGGAUGUGCCCAGAUGGGAUUAGCUAGUAGGUGGGGUAACGGCUCACCUAGGCGACGAUCCCUAGCUGGUCUGAGAGGAUGACCAGCCACACUGGAACUGAGACACGGUCCAGACUCCUACGGGAGGCAGCAGUGGGGAAUAUUGCACAAAGGGCGCAAGCCUGAUGCAGCCAUGCCGCGUGUAUGAAGAAGGCCUUCGGGUUGUAAAGUACUUUCAGCGGGGAGGAAGGGAGUAAAGUUAAUACCUUUGCUCAUUGACGUUACCCGCAGAAGAAGCACCGGCUAACUCCGUG